rnacentral:rRNA from 1 species
AAAAUCUUUAAAUUGCUGUAGUAUUUUGACUAUACAAAGGUAUUGUAAUAAGGUUUUAAUUGAAUGCUAAAAGAAUGGAAUUACAGGGAAAAGUUUUUUUAAAUUUAAUAAUUGAAGUUAUUUUAAUUUGUGAAGAAACAAUUAUAUAAAUUAAAGACAAGAAGACCCUAAGAAUUUAAGAAUUUUUAUUAAUAUAUUAUAUAUAUAUAUAUAAAUAAAAUUCUUAGUUGGGGCAACUAAAAAAUAUAUUAAACUUUUUUUUUAAAAAAAAGACCCAUUAUUAAUGAUAAUAUGAAAAAAAUACUCUAGGGAUAACAGCGUAAUAAUUUUUGAUAGAUCUUAUAGACAAAAUAGUUUGCGACCUCGAUGUUGGAUUAGGAUACUUUUUUAAUGAAGAUGUUAAAAAAAGAAGUUUGUUCAACUUUUAAAUUCCUACAUGAUCUGAGUUUAGACC